AGAGUUUGAUCAUGGCUCAGGAUGAACGCUGGCGGCGUGCCUAAUACAUGCAAGUCGAGCGAAGGAAGUAGCAAUACUUCUUUAGCGGCGAACGGGUGAGUAACGCGUUGGUGACCUGCCUCGAAGCGUGGGAUAACAGUUCGAAAGGAUUGCUAAUACCGCAUGUGGUUGAAGAGAUUAGAAGCUUUCCAACUAAAGGAGAAAUUCACUUCGAGAGGGGCCUGCGUCCCAUCAGCUAGUUGGUAAGGUAACGGCUUACCAAGGCUAUGACGGGUAGGGGACCUGAGAGGGUGGCCCCCCACAAUGGAACUGAAACACGGUCCAUACACCUACGGGUGGCAGCAGUAGGGAAUAUUGCAUAAUGGGCGAAAGCCUGAUGCAGCAACGCCGCGUGUGCGAUGAAGGCCUUCGGGUCGUAAAGCACUUUUAGAGAGGAUGAGGAAGGACAGUACUCUCUGAAUAAGCCUCGGCUAACUACGUGCCAGCAGCCGCGGUAAAACGUAGGAGGCGAGCGUUAUCCGGAUUUACUGGGCGUAAAGCGCGUGCAGGCGGUAAGGAAAGUUGGAUGUGAAAGCUCCUGGCUUAACUGGGAGAGGUCGUUCAAAACUACCUAACUAGAGUGUGGGAGAGGGAGGUGGAAUUCCGGGUGUAGUGGUGAAAUGCGUAGAUAUCCGGAGGAACACCAGUGGCGAAAGCGGCCUCCUGGCCCAAGACUGACGCUCAGACGCGAAAGCUAGGGUAGCAAACGGGAUUAGAGACCCCGGUAGUCCUAGCUGUAAACGAUGUGGACUUGGCGUCGGCGGGUUUAAAUCCGUCGGUGUCGAAGCAAACGCGAUAAGUCCACCGCCUGGGGACUACGGCCGCAAGGUUAAAACUCAAAGGAAUUGACGG
rnacentral:rRNA from 1 species